ACAACCUAUAUUCAAAAGGACAGAAAAAAUAACAUUUGCAUAUGUGCUCUACAAGUCCGUUGAGCAGACCGUGAAAGCUCACUUAAACAGACAUUAACUGAAUUUAUUCAAAUCAUCAUAAAACACUAGAAAACUUAGCUUAGAAUAUGGACAAUAACUAUUGCUUCCACUUUAAGAAAUGCUACAUGACUACAACAAAUGGCCGGUGGUAGCUGGUCCCCUACAGGACGGUGAGGUACUGGAGGUCCCUCCUCCCCUCUGGACAUCGAGGGGUCCCCGGCGUAUACGAUACGGGCCAUUCUGGAUUCGAGACGCCGGGUGAGGGGCCUGCAGUACCUCGUGGACUGGGAGGGUACGGUCCGGAGGAGAGGUGCUGGGUACCCACCAGGGACAUUUUGGAUCCGUCAAUGUUGAGGGAUUUCCAUCGCCUCCAUCCGGAUCGCCCUGCGCCUCGUCCUCCGGGUCGACCUCGAGGCCGGUGUCGGCGCGCUGCGGGAGCCACGCGUCAAGGGGGGGGUACUGUCACGACUCCGACCGAAGGACACUCCCCUUCCCGUUCGGGUGGCGCUCGGCGGUCGUCGUCGCCAGCCUACUAGCUACUACUGAUUAUUUCCUCCCCCUCCUUAUGUGUUGAUUGAGUGCACCUGUUGUGAAUUAGGUAGUAGGCUUUAUUAGUCAGCUGGCCCGCAGAGUUCCUUGUGCGGGAUUAAUUAUUGUGACCAUCUGUUUUAGUGUACUUGUGUGCACGUCUAUGGGUUUUGUGUUUCCCAUUUUGUGGGUUUUCCCAGAACCGUUUAGUCCUCCUGUUUGUUCAUUACGCCGUGUGUGUUCGUGUGGGUUGGCUUAUGUUCGCCGUUUUGUCGGUGCAUUAAAAUGGCACUCACCUGAA